rnacentral:rRNA from 1 species
UACCCGGCCAAUAACGCCCCCUACCGGGGGGCCAAAGCAGGGGAAUUCGCCAGGACCUUUGCACUAUUAGAGCGGCCGAUAUCGGAUUAGCUAGUUGUGGGUAACGGCUCACCAAGGCGACGAUCCGUAGCUGGUUUGAGAGGACGACCAGCCACACUGGGACUGAGACACGGCCCAGACUCCUACGGGAGGCAGCAGUGGGGAAUUUUGGACAAUGGGGGAWACCCUGAUCCAGCCAUCCCGCGUGUGCGAUGAAGGCCUUCGGGUUGUACAAGCACUUUUGGCAGGAAAGAAACGUCGCGGGUUAAUACCUCGCGGAACUGACGGUACCUGCAGAAUAAGCACCGGCUAACUACGUGCCAGCAGCCGCGGUAAUACGUAGGGUGCAAGCGUUAAUCGGAAUUACUGUGCGUAAAGCGUGCGCAGGCGGUUCGGAAAGAAAGAUGUGUAAAUCCCAGAGCUUAACUUUGGAACUGCAUUUUUAACUACCGGGCUAGAGUGUGUCAGAGGGAGGUGGAAUUCCGCGUGUAGCAGUGAAAUGCUGUAGAUAUGCGGAGGAACACCGAUGGCGAAGGCAGCCUCCUGGGAUAACACUGACGCUCAUGCACGAAAGCGUGGGGAGCAAACAGGAUUAGAUAC